rnacentral:rRNA from 1 species
GAUGAACGCUGGCGGCGUGCCUAACACAUGCAAGUCGAACGGACGGACGGUAAGCUUGUGCCCUUGCGGUUAGCGGCGGGCGGGCGAGUAACGCGUGGAUAACCAACUUCUAUUUCUGGGGGAAUUACGGGAAACCGGAGAUAAUAACAGCGAAUAUGUUGUACCGCAGGGAUCAAGAGUGCAUGGCGCCCUUCGUGUCACAAAUAGAUGGAUCCGCGCUGCAUUAGCUAGUUGGUAAGGUAACGGCCUACCAAGGCGACGAUGCGUAGCCGAUCUGAGAGGAUGAUCGGCCACACUGGAACUGAGACACGGUCCAGACUCCUACGGGAGGCAGCAGUAGGGAAUCUUGGGCAAUGGGCGAAAGCCUGACGGAGCCAUGCCGCGUGGGUGAUGAAGGCCUUCGGGUCGUAAAGCCCUGUUAUUGGGGAAGAACAGCUGUGGGUGAAACCGUGGCUGUUUUGACGGUACCUAAUGAGAAAGCCACGGCUAACUACGUG